UCCGCCUACCGUUGUUUUGCCUUCAAUCAUAACUCUGAGUGGAUACAAUCAUCAUCUUUUAGUUCCUUAUCUAUGAAUGCAAGUCAUCUUGGUGCUCAAAAGCAAUUGGACAACAACAAAGAUUAUAAUGCUUCAAAGUCAUUUCCGAGACUGCGGAGCUUUUCACCUUUCUUGGGUCUUAAACCAGAAAAUAUAUCUCUGGGCAAUUCUGCUGACUACAAGACAAAAAUUACUUCAAAUGACUGGGAACCUUCUGAACCUUUCCGACCAUCUCUUUUCAUUCGCUCUACAAGUCUAACAUCUCCUGAAAGUCUUUAUGACCCUCUUCGUGAUAGUAUAGACCAACCCAUCGUUGGAGAUAGAUCAUUUUGUGCUUCUUUCUCUAGUCAAGGUGUCCUAAAAGUAUCAGAAGAGGGCGCAUAUCGUGAUCUUACAUUGAGUGGGACUCAGGUCCCCGAAUGUAGUGAUGAUAAAAAUAGUUCAUGUUUUCAAAACAAUUACCAUGAGAACCUGCUGGAAACAGAUUGUCGUACUCCUCAUGAUGAUUUACUUACAACUGGUGCAGAGGUGGUUGGAACUUCUGUGGUUGAUGAGAAAAAUAAGAUAAUGCCAAAAGAAAAGAAAUCCUCAGUGGCCUCUCGUGUUAAAGACAUUCCAAAAACAAACAAAACUGAUGCUGACCAUGAUUCUAGGCAUCAAAGUGAUAGAUCUCGACACAAGGGCUUAAAAGCAGAUAGGGUUAAACAAGAAAAUGAUAUGGAUGUUGGAACAAAGUCAGAUGGGAGUGUUCACAAAGAACCAAAGGCGAUGAGACAAUUCCGUGCUGCACUUGUAGACCAUGUUAAAGAACUGUUGAAACCAACUUGGCGUGAAGGUCAUCUUGGCAAGGACGAUCAUAACAUUAUAGUGAAAAAAGCAGUUGACAAGGUCCUUAGCACCUUGCAGCCCCACCAAAUUCCGACUACUAUGGAAUCAGUCCACCAAUAUCUUUCUUCAGCUCAACCUAAAAUUGCAAAACUUGUGCAGGGAUAUGUUGAUAAGUAUCAUCACAAAUCUUAAGAUGCUUGGCCAGAGAAUGCUUUUUUCCUUUGUACAGAUUGGACGUUAUGAGACAUUCCUAUGUUGCAGUUGUAGACAAUGUUGAACAAGUUGGCUUGACAUGGCAUUCUCUGCAUGGGGAAACAAAUGACUGAAACAAUUUCUGGCCAAACCAUGAGGAUGAAACAGUGUCCUCUCUAUUGGCUUUCUUUCGAACUUGGUGAUUUGAUCUAGGGGAAGUCUUCGCGGAAUCAUUUUUGCUGUCUGUAGAUCUCCUCCUAGUGCCGGAUGCUGGUGAUAACCUUUUGUGAUCGUGCUCAUUAGUCGCCCGAGACUGCUUCAGUUGGUAUAAGAAUGCUUGUGGUAGGAGCUGACUUCUGGAGAUUUUGGUAACAGUCGGAGGUUUCUUGUUUAAAUUAUGAGCAAUUGUAUGUGGUGCAGCAGUGCUAACCUCCAACUGUCUGUCUUUGUCUUUGUCGCUUCCCCUGUCUCUAUUGAGAGGAGAGAGUGUUGAUUGCUGAUCCUGAAUGGAUAGGUAGCCAGCAAACGAGAGUGAGUCAAGGGAACAGUUAUCAGCUGCAACAUCUGAGGAAAUCUUGUUUUGCAAGUAAGUUGCCAUUGAUUUCCUUACAAACUUGCUUGUUGGAGCCCAUAGCAUAUAUAUACAUGAAACCUUUGUGGGGUUAUUGGUAUUUUUAGAUACCAUUUUGUUUUGAUUUGCUUGUUUUUGCAUUUAUGUAGAAUUUUGGCCGCGUUAGGGCUCAAUCUUCUUUUGAAAGCAUAAUAAAUGUAAAAUUUGGAAUAUGCUUUUAUGAUUUAAGAUUUGGGUUUGUCUCAAUAGAGGAGGAUGGGCCAGAUUUUUAUU